AGCUUUUAAAAGGAAGCUUUAAAAAUGUUUACUUCUCCAGCCUCUGCCACGCUCUGCCUCUCUGGAAGAGGCAGCUCCUCUUAAGCACUUAGUGUGGGUCUGGGAACUUGGCUUGUGUGCUGGCAGAGGAAGCUCUGUGACUCUUAGCAGCUGCUCAAGGGAUCCCCGUACCUGCUCUCUGGGCUGCACGGCCUCCAUUCUCCAGAGUAACCAUUAGGAUAAAGGACCCAAGUCUGGAAGAGGUUAAGCAACUUGCUCUGUUUCGGAAAUCUCGGAAAGAAAUACAUGGAGACACAGAAUUUGGUCACUUGCUCUGGGGGAAGCCCAUUGUCAGGAUAUGAGGACACUCCAGGAACUCUGUGGAGAGGUCCAUGUGGCAAAGAACUGAGGCCUGCAGGUUCUCAUGAUGUAGUUCAGGCUGGCCUCUAACUCAUGAUGAUCCUCCUGCCUCAGCCUCCUGAGUACUGGAAUUACAGGUGUGUGCCACCACUCUCUGCAAAUAUGUACAUUGUCUUCAUAGUUUCCUGUGUAUAUACAUAUGCCAAAACUCUCCAAAUUCUAUGUGUAAUUUCCUGGAUGUGAACUAUAUCUCAAUUGAGCUGUAAAAAGGAAAUGAAGAGGAGAGAAAAGAAUCCCCUGGAUCACUUGUUGAAAAGUUUGCUGGACCCCACCCUAGAGCUUCUGAUUCAGUAAAUCUGGUUUGGGGCCACAUUUGUAUUUCUCCCAUCCAAAUACUUACCAGGUCCGACCCUGCUUAGCUUCCAAGAGAUCAGACUAGAUCGGGUUCAUUCAGGGUGGUAUGGCCGUAGACCACAUUUGCAUUUCUGAGAUGCUCCUGAGAGAGGAUGCUCCUGUUCCACCGUCUGAGGACCCAUGUACAGGAUGGGGCAAGCAGCUCCAAAGUGACAUUCAUCUUUUCAUCUGCCAAGCCUUACGGCUUCUUUUUUUUUUUUGGUGGAGGGAGAUCGAACUCGAGACCUCACAUUCGCCAGGCAAGGGCAGUACCACUGAGCUACAUCCCCCGCCCCCCACAGCUUUUCUUAUUGUGAGGGAAUUUCUGCUAUUGUGGAGGCAGGACUGCCUCCCACCCCAAAGCAAGUGGAACAGCUUUUCUGUCUCCUGGCAGCUAAACAUGAGCCUGUGGCCCGGCUUGCCUGGUAGUCCAGCACCCGACCAGGCUGGGUUGUGGGGAGCUGGCAGCAGCAGGCUCAGUGUGAUGGUGGCAGAGGUGCCCCACUGGUGGGCACAUCCUGUGCGAUCUGAGGUUAGUGGCAUCAUCUUUCCUGAGUCCUCUUCCCUGGCUCCUUUUAACUCCAGCCCUGCUCCUGAUCUUAUUCGAUACUCAUAGGAUGCUUCGUGUGGGUUAAGUUAUGUCUCCUAGAAAUUGAUGUGCUGGAGUUCUAAUGACUAAUAUCUGAGAAUGAAUGGGACCUUAUUUGGAAAUCAGAUCAUUGCAGAGGUAACUAGUUAUGAUGAGGUCAUUAUUGCCUUCCUAAGGAGCCUGUGUAGGCUUUUUCUUAAUUGUCCCUCCAUUUAAUUUUAAAACACAGCUAUACUGCAUCUCUAUAUAUGUAGGAUACAUAUAGCUGCACUUCCUACAUACAAAGAGUAAUAUUUUUAACCCCCUUCAAGAGCUAAACUUGAUCCCUUUGGGGAUUAUCACACACAGACACACACACACACACACACACACACAGAGAAAGAUAUGACCUAGAAUAUUUGUGUAUUACUAUUAUUAGAUUUUAGGGUCAAGCCAUAUUUUACCUCUUGGAAUGAACCAUGCAAGAGGAGACAGCUACCAAGGCCCAGAAACAUACAGACUGCAUAGGUACUUUAAGUCCAAUACUCAUUUUGAGGGGUGGGGGGUGUUGGGGAUCAAACCUAGGGCCUUGCACAUGCCAAUACUCUACCACUGAGCUACAGCCUCACCCAAGAUGAACAGUUUUUAUUUGUUUGUUUGAUUUGAAACAGGGUCUUACUAUGUAGUUGAGGGUGGCCUUGAAUUUACUAUGUAGCUCAGCUGGCUUCAAA